rnacentral:lncRNA from 1 species
AUGGUUUUGGCACAGGCCCCGUGGCUGCCCCACAGCCCGGUGCAGGGCCUAUCCCUGCCCCGCUGUUCCUGCACGGGCCCAGGCUGGCCCCGCAGGCUGCAGCAGGGCUGGGGCAGGGUGCUGGUGCUGCAGGAGCCUGCCCCGACCCCAGCCAGCCCCGUGAGCCAAGCACCCGUUCACAAAGCUGCAGCCCAGAACGGGCACGGGGAGCCCCUCGGAGCUGCGCCAGUCACUGCCCUGCACGGCCUCUCCAGCGCCGCCGCCGCGUCCCUCUGCCGGGCCCCGCAUCUCCUCCGUACAGCACCUGCUGGAAACCGAGCUUCCCCCUUCCCGGGGCAGCGCCUCCGCUCCGGCCCCAGGAGCCAGCCAGGCGGGGAGCCCCGCAGCGAGGGCCAGCCCCGCUCAGAGCUGAGCCCUCUUUUUGGGGCCCCCCCCGGUGCCCUCCUGCAGCCACACGCUCAGCCCAGCCCCGUCCAGGUGCAUCCUGCACCGCCGGGGCCACCCUCGCGCACCCGGCGUGCGCCCAGCGCCGCUGCUCUGCCCAGCUCAGCCCCUGCAGGGGCACUCAGGUGCCGAGGGGCUGCAGCGGGGAGCCCGGACACCCACCGGAGCUACCCCCCGCCGCCUCUUUGCUCGCCUCCGCCUCCAUCAGCCGGUGCAGGAGCCCCUUUGCCCGGCCACGGAGGCGGUGGCCGGGGCGGCCGCCCCGCAGGGCACCCAGCAGCCGGGGCAGCUCCUGGGGCAGGCGGUAGGUGGGCAGGGGCCGCAGGGGCCGGGGGACAUCGCGGGGGCUGCAGAGGCGGCUGAAGUAAACCAGCACCCAGUCCCGGCGGCGCCCCGCCGCCCCCAGCUCCCCGUGCAGGCAGGCCAUGGCCGCCCCAAAAAUAUCGUGGGCGUCCCGGGGCUCCCCACCGCCCUCGCCCCCUCUCCAGAGGCGGAAGAGCCGGGAGCUGCCCCGGCUCCAGAGCAGCAGGACGGUGCCACGCUCGCGGCCCACGCGGCCCCGCUGCGCGUAGAGCCAGGGCAGGGCCCCCGCGCGCCCCACGCCGCCCGCUUCCCACAGGUCCAGCCGCACCUCGCAGCCCAGCCCCGCGCGCAGCAGCUCGGCCAGGGCGCACACCAGCCCCAGGUGCUCCUCCGAGUCCGGGGAGUACAGCAGCAGCACGGGGCGGCCGCCCGCUGCGCCUGUAGGCAGAGGGGACAGCGGUGACAGCCCCGUCCUGGGGAGCCCCGGUGGCACCGCGGUGCCCCAUGCCACCCCAGAGACCUCCCCAGCCCUUGGGGUCACGGCGAGCCUCCCCUUCCCCGGAUUUUUGCCCCUCACCGGCGGGUGGCCUCCAUGCGCCGCGGCAGUUGAGGAGCAGCACGGUCAGCACCAGCCCCAGCGCCAGCCCCAGCCCCAGCAGCCCGAAAUGCCUGCGUGAGACUGCGAGAGGGGCGGUGAGGGGCGGGGGGAAGCCCCCACACCCCACCCCCAGACCCCAGACCCUCCUGCUGGCUCCAGGACCCCGCUCACCAUCAGGGCAGAGCAGCUGCUUCCUGGCGAAGCGCACGUC